GACGAACCGGACAAACGUUAUUCGGAAUCAUUGGGCUUAAAGGGUGCGUAGGCGGUGCUGUAAGUCGGGUGUGAAAUGCCUCAGCUCAACUGAGGAAUUGCGCCCGAUACUGCGGUGCUUGAGGGAGACAGAGGUAAGCGGAACUGAUGGUGGAGCGGUGAAAUGCGUUGAUAUCAUCAGGAACACCAGUGGCGAAAGCGGCUUACUGGGUCUCUUCUGACGCUGAGGCACGAAAGCUAGGGUAGCAAACGGG
rnacentral:rRNA from 1 species